AUUUGUCUGGUUAAUUCCGAUAACGAACGAGACCUUAACCUGCUAACUAGAUACUUUUAUUCUAUAAAUGUCAUCUUCUUAGAGGGACUAUGUAAUUCAAAUACAUGGAAGUUUGAGGCAAUAACAGGUCAGUGAUGCCCUUAUAUGUCCUGGGCUGCACGCGUGCUACACUGAUGCAUACAACAAGUGCCUAACCAGACAUGGUACGGCAAUCUCGAAUAUGCAUCGUGAUGGGGAUAGAUCUUUGCAAUUAUAGAUCUUGAACGAGGAAUUCCUAGUAAGUGCAAGUCAUCAUCUUGCAUUGAUUAUGUCCCUGCCCUUUGUACACACCGCCCGUCGCUCCUACCGAUACCGGGUGAUCCGGUGAACCUUUUGGACUCAUUGAGAAAGAUAAGUAAACCAUAUCACCUAGAGGAAGGAGAAGUCGUAACAAGGUUUCCGUAGGUGAACCUGCRGAAGGAUCA
rnacentral:rRNA from 1 species